ACGCUCGACACCUACGGGACGCAGCAGUGGGGAAUAUUGCACAAUGGGGGAAACCCUGAUGCAGCGACGCCGCGUGGAGGAAGAAGGUCUUCGGAUUGUAAACUCCUGUUGUUGGGGAAAAAAGAGGAUGGUACCCAACAAGGAAGUGACGGCUAACUACGUGCCGGCAGCCGCGGUAAUCUGAGCGGGCUGGCAAGGC
rnacentral:rRNA from 1 species